rnacentral:lncRNA from 1 species
GUGUCCCUUCACACAAAUUUUAUGGGAGAUCAAGAAUAAAUAAAGAUUGUGUGUCACUAAGGUCUGUCCCCUGGAUUGACCGCUAAUUUAAUGUUAACUUAAUCCCCGUGGAGUGAAAUUUUAUUCCCACUCUUUGAUCCUGAUGGCUAUUUUUAGUCGUCGGCCUUGUACAUCAUUGCAUGUAACUUCAUGCAAAACAAAUAUAUUUGCUGUCUAAAAGUAGGCGAAACUAUGGGAAAACAUUGUAAUU